ensembl:snRNA U6 U6 spliceosomal RNA
GUGUUCAUUUUGGUAGCACAUAUACUAAAAUACAAAGAGAAAAGAUUAAUGUAGCCCCUGUGCAAUGAUGACAUAUGAAUUUGUGAAACAUUCCAUAUUAUA